AAAUUUUAAUUUUGUUUACCUUUUGAUUGACUUGCACGAAUUAACUAAUUUAAUUCACUAAUCAAUUUAAUCAAUAUCAUUUAUCUUUUUUAUUAUUGUUAAUCUCUUUUUCACUGACCAUUGGUGUUUCUCGCUCUUCAGUCAAAAUAAAAAAAUUCUCUGAGUCAAAUUGGUGGAAUUACAAAUAAUCAAUGGUGACCCGUUUAGCCUCAGAGAAAGAGGAUAUAUUUCAUCAGGAGAAUCAAAGGGAAUUUCAAUUUCGAUGCCUAUUCAGACCUUUCAGAGUUGUAGCUCAGAAUUAUUAUCUUACCAAUUUCGCUCAUCAAUACAUCUCAAUGGCUUUUCAUCGUCAUGAGCAUCUUCAUGCUCAUCAUCAUCAUCAUCAUCAUUCCUUGGCAAUUUUUUUCUCUUUGUUUCGUUUCAUUUUUUUUCUUCCUUCAUUUGGAUCCACAAUUCAUCAGCUGAUCGCGUGCUUAUCAGAAUCACAAGCAAAUCACAAUUAAACCUCACCUAUGUGAGAGUGGAUUGUGUGUUUUCACCAUGAUAAUCAGUGAGUAAAGGUAAAGAGGGAGAUAAUUUUCUCUCUCACUCACUCACUUUUACUGUAGCAAAAAAAGUGCAAAGAAAUUACAAUAAUUAAGGCUUGGUUAGUUUCUCCAUUAUAAUCAACAGAAUCCAAUCCAUAGGCAAUGGUAAACUUUACAUUGGAAAGUCUUAUGCAAACAAUGAUGAGAAAGGCAACAAAUAGAUUACAAUUUGAAUGGUAAAUGGAUAAACAAUUGGUUGAUAAAUUGAAGCGUUUAAAGGGAAAAAAGAUCAACAGUGAUUUAAGUUUAUACUUUAAAGGAUUAACGAUGAAGAUUAAGAUUACUGUUUAUGGUUGACACUCGUUGGUAACCCAGAUAAUUGUUAUAACAAGAAGAGGAGGAAGAUGAAGAUGAAUGGGAAGGAUCAAGGGAAAAGAAGGAGGAAAAAGACAAAGAACCAACGGUGGAAGAGGAAAAAAAUGAAAGAUUUUAGGAUGAAGAUGAACGGAAACAGUUGAAUAUGUUGAUCGACAAUAACAGUAAUAAUACUCAUGUAGUAUGAUGAUGAAGAUGAAGAUGAAGAUGGAGAUGGAGAUGAUAAAGGUGUGUCAUCCUCUUACUUUUCUUUUCCAUUUUUGUCUCUGUGGAUGAAGAGAAAGAUCAACAACGAAAGCAAUUAAUCCGAUGAGGAUGUUGAUCGGCGGUGGUACCAAGAAGAAGAGGAGGAGAAGAGACAGUUUUUUGUAUUCUAAUGGGUGGCAAAGGUAUUAAGGAGACGCUGGUGGUGGUGGUGGUGAAGGAGAAGGAGGAUUUUGGAGAGGGUAACCCUGGGGAAUGUGAUGAGGAUGAUUAUUAUUUUCCUCUCUCUCUCUCUCCUCUCCUGCUAAUUGAAAAGAAACUAAUAGAAUAUAUAAUUUAUGUAUAAAAAAGUCAAUCAACCAAUCUUAAGGUUCAUCCUCAUCUUUUUCAUCAAUAUUCUGUUUUCAUCUUUAUCCUUAUCAUCUUGAUCAUCUAUUUGAUGGUCCAUUGAAUUAAUAAAUCAACCCUAAAUCAUAUCAUUAUUAUUUACCUUUUUCAAAGGGAAAAUCAUAUGGUUGAUUUUUUUUCAAACUCUAA